ACAUCAGAUGACACAUGGCAGCAGCUAAAACGGGAAAAGCGCUCCCUGAGUCAUCCCUGGAGCCGGGCGGCAAAGGCUCCUCCUGGGACCAUGUGUGGACCCUCCAAUGAGGGGGGCCUGGGUCACCUUCACUGAGUGGACAGGACACUCAGUGAAGUUCCAAAGGACACUCAGUGAAGUUCCAAAGGACACUCCGCGUCUUUUUCCUCCAGCUCCUGAAGGAAGCACAGUGAAGACUCCAGCAUGGAAAAGCGUGUCCCACACGGCCUCGGCGCCUCCAUGGAUGAUAGGCAUGGGGCACCCCCUUUCCUCUGGAAGGUUCUGGUGGGGGGCAGCACACCGUCCACGGGAGCAACGGCCUCUGCAUCUGCCCACUGCAGAUUCACUUCGUAUUUUUAGUUCCCAAACCUUGACAUCCAAGCUCCCGCUCUGUGGCUUCCGCGGCAGCCUGGCAAGCUUCCUGUGAAGUCGCCCGCUGCUGAGCUUCCGCACCCUUCCUCCCGCAGAGCCAGCCAGUCAUGGAAGAGCGGGAUCAUCCCGGAAGGGAGCCUGCAGCGAUGAUCCAGCUCCUUCAAAGGGUCUGUGGAUUAUCUCAGCUUCCCUGGCUCGGCUAUUUUGAUGAAUUCAUUAUCAAAACCUGACCUCCUGCAUGGAAAUAUACACACAGAUGCUAGACCAGGAGCUUCAGACAUGCCUCCCAAUGACUGCUGUUCCUGAGUGAUGCCCUCCGGUGGAGUGUGGGUUGGCACUAGUGACUCUUAUCUCACCAAUAUCAUACAGAGAAGGUGCUGGGAUAUUAUGUUUGAGAGUGCAUUGCAGAAGACUAUCUCAUCUGUCUUGCUCACACUUUCUCCUGACUGCCACUUGCUCGUUCACAUGAACACGUAGGUCACGGCAGUGGCCGAGGAUCACGUAAUCCCGGUCUUGAUGGGGUGGCAUCACCAUCUGCAGUGUAUGAGGAUGACAGUGAUCGCCACGCAGCAUUGAUGGAAGCUAAAAUCAGCACCUAAGAACCAAAACGGCAGAGAGAAAGAGCCCGUUCCGAAACCGUUACGCAGAACUGGCGAGGGGAAUGUCCAACUUACCAGACCGUGGUCCAAAUGCUCACUUCCUCAACAGGGAGCUUUCUUCCAUGGCCGAACCAGCACCCCCGCCCGUCUACUCCUUCACAUGGGCACGAUGGACCCAAGAGAAGGGCAAUUUUCUGUUGCUAUUAUUUCAAUUAAAUAGCUGCUUUGAGCCUUUAUUUCUUAUAUUAAUAUCUCUUAAGCAAAAGUAAAUGUGUCUUUUCUGGUUCUAUGAGAAAAAAUAGUUACAAAGUCUGUAUAAUAUUAAAUGAGAAGAAGUUUUCACUCUC
rnacentral:lncRNA from 1 species